UACGAAGGGGGCUAGCGUUGCUCGGAAUCACUGGGCGUAAAGCGCACGUAGGCGGAUCCUUAAGUCGGGGGUGAAAUCCUGGAGCUCAACUCCAGAACUGCCUUUGAUACUGAGGAGCUUGAGUCCGGGAGAGGUGAGUGGAACUGCGAGUGUAGAGGUGAAAUUCGUAGAUAUUCGCAAGAACACCAGGGGCGAAGGCGGCUCACUGGCCCGGUACUGACGCUGAGGUGCGAAAGCGUGGGGAGCAAACAGG
rnacentral:rRNA from 1 species